rnacentral:misc_RNA from 1 species
CAGCCUCCCAAGGCUACAUGAGAGUGAAAAAUCAAUAAUUAGAUUUCAGGUAAGGACAUUUCUCAAUAAUGCAGAUAAGCAUCAACAGGGAUUCUGCUUUCUAGCUGUGCAACAUCUAUGUUGAUGGACUUGUAGCCACAUCUGAAUGAAAUUAAAGAAUAGACAUCAGCUGCACUUGGUCUCAAAGUAAAAAAUGUGUAGUAGUAACUUUCAAAUCACGCACCACCAAUAGCGAUGCUGAAUUGCAUUAAAAAAUGAUCUUCACUGAGAAAAGUGGACUAGAACUUUUUAAAGAUCAAAUAGGUUUACAAUCCCAAAAUCCUAUUCCUUAUAUAGCCAACCACAUCCAACAAUGAGUCAAGUACCCACCAGUUUAUAAUCUAUCAACAUUAAAAAUUCAAAACUGAGAUGGAGGGAAUAAAAAGGAGAGAGAACCCCAGGGGGGAGGGGGG